rfam:Zootermopsis nevadensis contig16648, whole genome shotgun sequence.
GCCACGGUGGUCUAGCGGUUAGAACGCUGGCCUUGUAAUCCUGAGGUCUCGGGUUCGAUUCCCGGCGGUGCCC